AGACGUAUAGCUCAAUUGGUAGAGCCUUGAAUUUUAUCAAGAGGUUAUAGGUUCGAGUCCUAUUCUGGUAAAGCUA
rnacentral:tRNA from 1 species